rnacentral:lncRNA from 1 species
GCCUCUCCUAAGACUCAACCCAGCCUAACGGUAAGCAUGGAGGCAGAGCUAUUUGGGAGAGAGGAUGCCCCCUGGGUUUCAGGCCAUACAAGAAUUUCAUAUUUCUUAGCAAGGAUUUCGUAACACCCCAGCCUGCACUGGCAACUGCCACUGGUAAGUUAUAUCACAAGAUCCUUUUCUCUUUUGGAAGCAGCUCUCUGCAGUCCUCUUACAAUCAAGAUUUAAGAAACAGGAAGCAAACUUGCCAAGAGCAACAUGAAAAGAGAAAGUUGGAAGGGGGCAAAGUUUGUGAGAACAAAAGAAAUAGUGUGAGAAAAAAGGGAGAAAAGAUAAAACAGACAAAGUCAACAGUGCUGACAGACUGAACUGCCAAAGAACGAUCACUCCUCUGUGGACCAAGUAAUAGCAAAUGUGACCAUUUUGUAUCAUUUAAUCUUCUAUAUUUCACCUGCAGCCCCCCCCCAAAAAAAAACAGAAAGGAUAUUUCAUUAGCAGAAUUUAAAUUGUUUUAAACAGAGAAAAAGUCACAUCACGAAGAAAAUGCUUCAAAUGCAAAAUGAAAAGUUUGUCUCUGGAGACCUGUGAUUCUGUCAACUUAAAAAUAGCAAUAGCAUUUAUGAGGGCAGCUAGGUGGUGCAAUGGACAGAGCACUGGCUCUGGAGUCAGGAGGACCUGAGUUCAAAUCUGACCUCAGACACUUGACACCUACUAGCUGUGUGACCCUGGGCAGGUCACUUAACCCUGAUUGCCUUGCCAAAAAACAAUAACACGUAUGUAUGAUAUUCAGCUAUACAAAGCAUUUUGUUCCCAACAUCUCAUUUGAGCCUGUCAACAAUUCUGUGAAGGAGGUACUUGAUUAUCCCCAUUUUACAGAUGAGGAAUCUGAAGCCAAAAACAACUUGCUCAGGGACUGCUAGUGUUUGAAGCGAAUUCAAACUCAAGUUUUCCUGUCUUUGAAUCUGCCACUCAGUGCUCUAUGCCACCAUAGCUGUCUCUGCUUUCUACCAAAGCAGAAUGCAACUGCAACUGGAAAGCUUUCACGGAGACAUCCUGCCGGUAAAAAAUCAAUUAUCGCCCUGCAAUCAAUCUGGUGAUGAGACCUUCCACAUUUAGCUAUGCUCGUCCUCGGAUGCCAGACAAACAGCUUGAUGGAACCCGCCAGAGCUUUUUUUCCUUUGUGAUAGCCUUCAAGAACUCAAAGUCACCUUCAUGGUAUAACAAGACAACAGUUAAGGACUUCACUGGGGGAUCAAUCCGUGGUUAAAAUUCGUACUUUAUUUCAUUACCCAGACAUCUAUCUGUUAUUUGUGGAUGACCACAAGCUAUUUUGUUUUUAGUUUCAUAAACAACUAACACUCCAGGAAA